AUGGCUCCCGUCCCAGCCGCAGGAGAACAGCAUCCCCCGGGGCUGCCUCGGCCUCCAGCUCCAGCCUUUCCAUCGCCGGUCCCUCAACCCGCUCGGCCCCCUCUAGUGCCUCCCACAGUCACCGGCUGCCUGCCCCCAGCGGAACAUCCCCACCUAGCCUGCCUGCUCCUGGCUGGCUACUGGAUGAGCCAUCAACAUCUGCCGUCGGCCUCCGAGGGUCCAGAUUAUCUUCCUCUCCCUCCCAAUCCUGCAGACAGACAGCUGCGCCAUUGUCCAGCUCCUUCCAGCCAUCUGCUGGACCCACGGCAUCCACUGGUCACACCAAUAUGGAAGAUCUGUGUGGCCAGUGCAGGGAACCUGACCCUCCGGGUGUCUGCUCGGAGGGAUUGGUGCCGUGGGUCCAGUGCAACAAGUAUGAAAAGUGGUUUCACACCAUUUGUGUCGGCUGGGAGGAGCUGGACAAAGACGAAUUUUGGUGUUUUUGGUGUCUUAAUAUGUUUGACAAGUUUGUUAUUUAAUUUGUUUUUAAUUUGA
rnacentral:lncRNA from 1 species